GACGAACGCUGGCGGCGUGCUUAACACAUGCAAGUCGAACGGAAAGGCCCUGCUUUUGUGGGGUGCUCGAGUGGCGAACGGGUGAGUAACACGUGAGUAACCUGCCCUUGACUUUGGGAUAACUUCAGGAAACUGGGGCUAAUACCGGAUAGGAGCUCCUGCUGCAUGGUGUGGGUUGGAAAGUUUCGGCGGUUGGGGAUGGACUCGCGGCAUAUCAGCUUGUUGGUGGGGUAGGUGCUUACCAAGGCUUUGACGGGUAGCCGGCCUGAGAGGGUGACCGGCCACAGUGGGACUGAGGUGCGGCCAGGACUGCUACGGGAGGCAGGAGUGGGAGUUUUUGCACAAUGGGCGGAAGCAGGAUGCAGCGUUGUCGGGUGGUGGAGGACGGCUGUAGGGGUGGAACCCGUGUUCGACUGUGAAGAAGAGUGAGUGACGGUAAUGGGUAAAGAAGCACCGGCUAACUACGUG
rnacentral:rRNA from 1 species